rnacentral:rRNA from 1 species
UACGUAGGGUGCGAGCGUUGUCCGGAAUUAUUGGGCGUAAAGGGCUCGUAGGCGGUUUGUCGCGUCGGGAGUGAAAACCUUGGGCUUAACUCAGGGCUUGCUUUCGAUACGGGCAGACUAGAGGUAUGCAGGGGAGAACGGAAUUCCUGGUGCAGCGGUGAAAUGCGCAGAUAUCAGGAGGAAUACCGGUGGCGAAAGCGACUCUCUGGACGGCAACUGACGCUGAGGCACGAAAGCGUGGGGAGCAAACAGG